CUGGUUGAUUCUGCCAGUAAGAUAUGCCUGUUUAAAAGAUUAAGCCAUGCAAAUCUAAGUUUAAAUUGAUUUUACUGAUGAAACUGUGAACGGCUCAUUAAAUCAGUUAUAGUUUAUUUGAUGGUAUUGUAUUUUAUAUACAACUACAUGGAUAACUGUAGUAACCUAGAGCUAAUACAUGCGUAAAAAUCUGACUAUUAUAGGAAGGAUUUGCACUUAUUAGAUAUCAAACCAAUACCUUUCGAGGUUUAUUUGGUGAAUCAUAAUAACUGAACAGAUCGCAUUGUCUUGUACAGGCGACGUUUCAUUCAAAUUUCUGCCCUAUCAACUAGAUGUUAGUAUAUAGGACUAACAUGGUUUUAACGGGUGACGGGGAAUUGGGGUUCGAUUCCGGAGAAGGAGCAUGAGAAACGGCUACUACUUCUAAGGAAAGCAGCAGGCGCGCAAAUUAUUCAAUGGAAACACCUUUCCGAAAUAGUGACAAAAAAUAACAAUAUACAAUUAUUAAUUGUAUAAUUGGAAUGAGAACAAUAUAAAAACCUUAUCGAGUAACAAUUGGAGGGCAAGUCUGGUGCCAGCAGCCGCGGUAAUUCCAGCUCCAAUAGCGUAUAUUAAUGUUGUUGCAGUUAAAAAGCUCGUAGUUGAAUAUUGAAUAAAUAAUAUGUUUUGGUUCAUUUUUAUAAUGUAACUACAUAUUAUUAUUCUUCCUACUAGAUACUCGAUUCUGUUCUUAAUUGAAUGGAAUAGCAUUACUUUUUGUAAUGUCAAUAUAUUUUAUAAGCUCCAUUAUAUGGUGGAGAUGUGUAAAAGCAUUAUAAAUUAUAUAAAUGGAUCAAGUUUAUAUUAUAUAUUGGAGUUCUAGUUCAUUUACUUUGAGAAAAUUAGAGUGUUUAAAGCAACCUCUUUGGGUUCUGUAUAUAUUAGCAUGGGAUAAUAAAAUAAGAUUUAAUCUUUAUAUUUAUUGGUUUGAAUUGUAUUAAAUAAUGAUUAAUAGGAAUAGUUGGGGGUAUUUAUAUUGGAUAGUUAGCGGUGAAAUGCAUGGAUCUAUUCAAGAUAAACUAAAGCGAAAGCAUUUACCAAAGAUAUUUCCAUUAAUCAAGAACGAAAGUUAAGGGAUCGAAGAUGAUUAGAUACCGUCGUAGUCUUAACAGUAAACUAUGCCGACUAGGGAUAUGAGUUGUUAUAAUCAGGUAACACUGAUUAAUUUCCUCUUGUGGACCUUGUGAGAAAUCAUAAGUUUUUGGGUUCUGGGGGGAGUAUGGUCGCAAGGCUGAAACUUAAAGGAAUUGACGGAGGGGCACCACCAGGAGUGGAGCGUGCGGCUUAAUUUGACUCAACACGAGAAAACUUACCAGGUCCAGACAUUAGAAGGAUUGACAGAUUGAUAGCUCUUUCAUGAUUUAAUGGGUGGUGGUGCAUGGCCGUUCUUAGUUGGUGGAGUGAUUUGUCUGGUUAAUUCCGAUAACGAACGAGACCUUUACCAUACUAAAUAGUAUAAUUUAACUUAUUAGUUAGAUUGUAAUACUUCUUAGAGGGACUAUUGGUUCUUAAACCAAAGGAAGUAAAGGCGAUAACAGGUCUGUGAUGCCCUUAGAUGUUCUGGGCUGCACGCGCGCUACAAUGAUAAACUCAACGAGUAUUUACUUUUAAUAGUAUAAUGCUGUACUGGAAAGUAUGGCUAAUCUUAAACGUUUAUCGUGCUUGGGAUAGAUGAUUGCAAUUAUUUAUCUUGAACCAGGAAUUCCUAGUAAUCGUAUAUCAUCAGUGUACGAUGAUUACGUCCCUGCCUCUUGUACACACCGCCCGUCGCUGCUACCGAUUGGAUGAUCCGGUGAAAUCCUCGGAUAAUAAUUCUAUCUUAUAUAUUGUAAGAUUUAUUGUUAGAAGUUGAUUAAACCUUAUCAUCUAGAGGAAGCAAAAGUCGUAACAAGGUUUCCGUAGGUGAACCUGCAGAAGGAUCA
rnacentral:rRNA from 1 species